CCUACGGGGGGCAGCAGUGGGGGAUAUUGCACAAUGGGGGAAACCCUGAUGCAGCAACGCCGCGUGAGUGAAGAAGUAUUUCGGUAUGUAAAGCUCUAUCAGCAGGGAAGAAGAAAGUGACGGUACCUUAGGAAUAAGCCUCGGCUAACUACGUGCCAGCAGCCGCGGUAAUACGUAGGAGGCAAGCGUUAUCCGGAAUGACUGGGCGUAAAGGGUGCGUAGGUGGUUUGACAAGUUGGUAGCGUAACUCCGGGGCUCAACCUCGGCACUACUACCAAAACUGUUGGACUUGAGUGCAGGAGGGGCAAAUGGAAUUCCUAGUGUAGCGGUGGAAUGCGUAGAUAUUAGGAGGAACACCAGUGGCGAAGGCGAUUUGCUGGACUGUAACUGACACUGAGGCACGAAAGCGUGGGGAGCAAACAGGAUUAUAUACCCCUGUAGUC
rnacentral:rRNA from 1 species